AGAACAGUUUGGUUAACAUUAGUUCGAUAUGUUGAAAUUUGUGAUUUUCUUCGCCACCUUGCUGGCUUUGACAGCCGCAAAGCCUUUGAUCGUGGAGUAUGAAUAUUCAGAUCCUCUCGUGUACAGUUCCCCUGUUGCGGUAGACUACUCCUCAUCAUACUAUUCAUAUCCAAGCUACGCAACCACCUAUGAUUACAACUACUACCCUUACAGUUACUAUGUCCGCUAAUAAAUUGGUUCUUACGUU